rnacentral:rRNA from 1 species
UACGAAGGGGGCUAGCGUUGCUCGGAAUGACUGGGCGUAAAGGGCGCGUAGGCGGCUUUGUAAGUCGGGGGUGAAAGCCUGUGGCUCAACCACAGAAUUGCCUUCGAUACUGCAUGGCUUGAGACCGGAAGAGGUAAGUGGAACUGCGAGUGUAGAGGUGAAAUUCGUAGAUAUUCGCAAGAACACCAGUGGCGAAGGCGGCUCACUGGCCCGAUACUGACGCUGAGGCACGAAAGCGUGGGGAGCAAACAGG